AUAUAUUUUUUAAAUAUAUAUAUAUUUUUAUUUUUAUUAAAUUUAAAUAUAUUAUUAAAUUUAAAUAUAUAAUAAAUAAAUUAAUAUGUCAUUUAUCAUUUAUUUAUAUAAUUUAUUUAUUAUUUAUUUAUAUAUUAAUUUUAAUAUAUAAAUUUUAUUUAUAUUUUCUUAUAUUUUCUUUAUUAAUAUAUUAAUAUUU
rnacentral:lncRNA from 1 species